rnacentral:rRNA from 1 species
CUGUGAGGCAUGCUGGAGGUAUCAGAAGUGCGAAUGCUGACAUAAGUAACGAUAAAGCGGGUGAAAAGCCCGCUCGCCGGAAGACCAAGGGUUCCUGUCCAACGUUAAUCGGGGCAGGGUGAGUCGACCCCUAAGGCGAGGCCGAAAGGCGUAGUCGAUGGGAAACAGGUUAAUAUUCCUGUACUUGGUGUUACUGCGAAGGGGGGACGGAGAAGGCUAUGUUGGCCGGGCAACGGUUGUCCCGGUUUAAGCGUGUAGGCUGGUUUUCCAGGCAAAUCCGGAAAAUCAAGGCUGAGGCGUGAUGACGAGGCACUACGGUGCUGAAGCAACAAAUGCCCUGCUUCCAGGAAAAGCCUCUAAGCAUCAGGUAACAUCAAAUCGUACCCCAAACCGACACAGGUGGUCAGGUAGAGAAUACCAAGGCGCUUGAGAGAACUCGGGUGAAGGAACUAGGCAAAAUGGUGCCGUAACUUCGGGAGAAGGCACGCUGAUAUGUAGGUGAAGUCCCUCGCGGAUGGAGCUGAAAUCAGUCGAAGAUACCAGCUGGCUGCAACUGUUUAUUAAAAACACAGCACUGUGCAAACACGAAAGUGGACGUAUACGGUGUGACGCCUGCCCGGUGCCGGAAGGUUAAUUGAUGGGGUCAGCGCAAGCGAAGCUCUUGAUCGAAGCCCCGGUAAACGGCGGCCGUAACUAUAACGGUCCUAAGGUAGCGAAAUUCCUUGUCGGGUAAGUUCCGACCUGCACGAAUGGCGUAAUGAUGGCCAGGCUGUCUCCACCCGAGACUCAGUGAAAUUGAACUCGCUGUGAAGAUGCAGUGUACCCGCGGCAAGACGGAAAGACCCCGUGAACCUUUACUAUAGCUUGACACUGAACAUUGAGCCUUGAUGUGUAGGAUAGGUGGGAGGCUUUGAAGUGUGGACGCCAGUCUGCAUGGAGCCGACCUUGAAAUACCACCCUUUAAUGUUUGAUGUUCUAACGUGGACCCGUGAUCCGGGUUGCGGACAGUGUCUGGUGGGUAGUUUGACUGGGGCGGUCUCCUCCUAAAGAGUAACGGAGGAGCACGAAGGUUGGCUAAUCCUGGUCGGACAUCAGGAGGUUAGUGCAAUGGCAUAAGCCAGCUUGACUGCGAGCGUGACGGCGCGAGCAGGUGCGAAAGCAGGUCAUAGUGAUCCGGUGGUUCUGAAUGGAAGGGCCAUCGCUCAACGGAUAAAAGGUACUCCGGGGAUAACAGGCUGAUACCGCCCAAGAGUUCAUAUCGACGGCGGUGUUUGGCACCUCGAUGUCGGCUCAUCACAUCCUGGGGCUGAAGUAGGUCCCAAGGGUAUGGCUGUUCGCCAUUUAAAGUGGUACGCGAGCUGGGUUUAGAACGUCGUGAGACAGUUCGGUCCCUAUCUGCCGUGGGCGCUGGAGAACUGAGGGGGGCUGCUCCUAGUACGAGAGGACCGGAGUGGACGCAUCACUGGUGUUCGGGUUGUCAUGCCAAUGGCACUGCCCGGUAGCUAAAUGCGGAAGAGAUAAGUGCUGAAAGCAUCUAAGCACGAAACUUGCCCCGAGAUGAGUUCUCCCUGACCCUUUAAGGGUCCUGAAGGAACGUUGAAGACGACGACGUUGAUAGGCCGGGUGUGUAAGCGCAGCGAUGCGUUGAGCUAACCGGUACUAAUGAACCGUGAGGCUUAACCUU